GGCUGCUGAAGGGUUAACAGUGGGCUGCCUGCCCCGUGUGCGACGUGUCCAGGAACCGUGAACCACGAGGCAGGGUCGGGAAACAGAGGUCGGCGUUCAGGAGGCCAAGUUCCCCUUCGUGUGGAAACACGAAAAGCACCAGGGAGACGUUUCCCCGCAAGGCGCCACGGAUGAGCCAGGCCAUUCGGAGCUGCAGGGGAGAGAAGAGCCAGAGGACGUGAUGUUGGAAGGAAACCUUAGGCCCCUUUCUGAAGCUCUCAACCCCAGAGAUCUUGCUGGAGACGGGGCCGAAAGGCCGCACUGAGGGCACUAAGCCGCACCAGCCAGGGCCGAGACGGUUUAAGCACAGUCAUGCCCACAGGCAGUGCACACCAUAAACAAGAAAGACUACUUACCACGAGGCACUUCAGCCCAAGACUUCCCAUUACGUUGCAUAUGACCCCUUCACCAACCAGGCCAAACCAGCAUUGGGGUGCCCGAGCGCUGUUCCACUUCUGAGACCCCGAGUCAGGGAGCCUUUUAUCAUCGCCCAUCUCAGACAUUAUGUCCGUCUCCUCUGAAAUCUUAUAACUGAGGCCUCUGGGACCAUUGCAGGGCCCAGUUCUGUGUCCUUGUCUCCCCUCUGUGCCCUCCAUCCCCUGGACCACAAGCUCCUUCAAGGCAGGGGGCUGCCUUCCCCAUCUUGAGUUCGCAGUGGCUGUCAAGUGAGGGCACGCGCAGCAGCUCCCCGUGGCAGACUGGGUGUGUACACGUGUACACACUCACCAGAAGACCCUCCUGUCUGUACAAGGCCCUCUCAGGGCCGGGAGCCGACUUUCCAUCCCGUGAAGCUCCGUGGAGCUGUCCUGCGUCCCAGGGGCCAGGCUCCAGGAAAGGGGAGAGUUUCCACCCGCUUCACAGCCGACUGGCGGCGACAGUCAACACCGCCCCGUUCUCAGCUGCUCUCAGGAGUCUUUCAGGUCGAGGCAGAGUCUGCUGGCGCCGUGAGCCUGCUGGUGAGAUGCAGCCUCGUCACGUCAGCACAGGGGACAUGGACCGGCUCACUGAACUUUCUCCGUCUUCCUGCACUGCGUAUUUUAGGCCGGCCCACUGGGGGAACAGUGGAACAAGAAUGGCUUCCUCAGCUUUUGAGGAGGCUUGAUGGAAUCCCUCUUGGUGUCAGUGCUUGUGGGAGACAGUCGUGCCUCCAUUCGACAAGCGUUCACUGCAGAGCUGUUCUGUGCGUGCGUUACGCAUGUUUCCCCCUGCCCCAGGAUGCUUAGCUUCUAGCCAGGAGGUCUGAAUUUAAAUGAGUGUAGCAGAAGGAGAAGCACUAAAAGUCACUCAAAAGUGAAGACAUAAGACACAGAGAGUCACGACACUUGACACACGCUCAGGACUUGGGUCCAGACGGCCACUUGACCCAACUGUUCAGUGCUAUGGAGAAAUAGGAAAAUUAAACAGUUGAGUUUCAUUUCUUCUUAUACUACUCUCACCUAUGUUUAUAGCAGAAAACAUAUCUACAGCCAGACUGAAGACGAGGAGUGCAUUGUUUGAGAUUCAGCAAUGUCUAGCUCUAGAAACAGAUACGAAAGGUUUGGGGGAAGGUAUCACAGUGGCAGCCAGCAAGUGGCCAGCAAAGUUUUUUCUUGGUCUUUUUUUUUUCACCCACUAAGUGUGUGGCAAGGAGAUGCAUCCAGGCAGAUGGGAUACCCCUCAAGCUUGCACACAGGCCUUCGCGUGGCCCACCUCUCCCCUGCAGUCAUCCCCGGUGACUCCGGAGUCUGCCGCUAUGGCUCGGCCAGUGCUCCACUGUUCAGAGUCUGAUCUUUAGGCUGGUGUCAUCAGUGUCACCUGGACACUCAUAAGAGUCCCCGGCCCGGCCCCAGACCCAUUACAUCAGAAUCUGCAGAGAAACUGGGAGGCAGCAGCCUCUGGCGCCAUGCUUCCUUUCUAGAACGCACCGGAAGCAACUCCCCUCUGUACCGUCAUCCGUUCUCCAGUGGUUCGCCUGACCAGCCCUGUUUUCCUGUCUGUUGGCUAUGGGAUAACUUGGAGUUUAGGCUCCAGGGCCAAAGGGAAUUAACUGUGUGACUUUAAGCCAACCACUCGCCUUUUCUGAGCCUCUAUUUUCUUACAGACGAAUUUGUGAGACCUGCCCUGCCUGCUCAGAAUGUGGUUCUAAAGACUGAGUGCGGCGACCGGCGUGGCAGCAGAGCUCACAGGUUGCAUGAAAUGGUUACACUGGCGGUGUCCAGCCCGGGCUGCAAGUUAGCAUCCCCUGGGAAACCCAGGUCUGGGCUCCCAGAGAUUUGGAUUUAAUUGGCCUUGGCAACAGCAGUUUUUCACGUCUCUCCAGGAGAUUCUAAAGUGCAGCCGGAGCUGUGACCACUGGGGAGACGGGCUACUUAGAGCGGGAGGGAGCCUGGCCUUCUCAGCGAGGGGCCCAUCUCACCUCGGACUUGAGUAAGAUGCAAUUCUUAAUGACUAAAAGUGUGGCUUAAAAUGCGCCCACCGCGGCCAAGGUGCAGGAGGAGCAUUUUUCCUGCAGCGGGGAGGACACGGCCCCCAUCUGGAGGCCUUUACGUGGCUGCCACACAGGCCCCGGGCGAAGGAUGAGAGCAGCCUGGAGAGCAAGAGAGCCCUGGGCUGGGGGUGAGCGGGGACGACCCAAGAGAGCGCAGACAGGACCAGGAGGGUCCUCCUGGACCUCCCGUGUGUGGCCCUCGCCAAUCUCUCCGUUAGAAGAACCGGAGGACUGACUGAUAUCCAUUCCUACGGAACAUCUCUCACUGAUUACUUGUAUCUGAAUGAAUAGAGCACCUCUCCGUGGUUCCCAGAGCAGAGCCUGGCUCAAGCCCCUGUCACAGGCUUCCAUUUUCCCAGGGUCAGGAGUCCCCGGACAGCGCUAUGUGUGGGUGCCCUCGCCAGGUGGACCUGGCUGGACCUGGAGAGUCACUGUUCGGGUGCCCAGAGUGGGCAAACACACUCUUGGAAUUUGAUCUCAGUGAGACCCAUUGC